CCUACGGGCGGCAGCAGUGAGGAAUAUUGGUCAAUGGACGCAAGUCUGAACCAGCCAUGCCGCGUGCAGGAAGACGGCUCUAUGAGUUGUAAACUGCUUUUGUACGAGGGUAAACGCAGAUACGCGUAUCUGUCUGAAAGUAUCGUACGAAUAAGGAUCGGCUACCUCCGUGCCAGCAGCCGCGGUAAUACGGAGGAUUCAAGCGUUAUCCGGAUUUAUUGGGUUUAAAGGGUGCGUAGGCGGUCGGAUAAGUUAGAGGUGAAAUCCCGGGGCUCAACUUCGGAAUUGCCUCUGAUACUGUCAGGCUAGAGAUUAGUUGAGGUAGGCGGAAUGAGUGGUGUAGCGGUGAAAUGCUUAGAGAUCAUACAGAACACCGAUUGCGAAGGCAGCUUACCAGGCUACUUCUGACGUUGAUGCACGAAAGUGUGGGUAUCGAACAGGAUUAGAUACCCGGGUAGUC
rnacentral:rRNA from 1 species